AGCAGUACUGUCUUGUAACGUCAAGUGUGCUAACUGUCGUGAAAGCACAUUGACAGAAAGCCCCGAGCAGGACGCUAAUAAGUCAGUCUUAUUAUUUGAUCUACAGUUUGAAAUAUUUUCGUCGUAUAAAAUACAAAUUUGAUUCUUUAGUUAAGGAUAAAGUGGUCUCGAUGCGCUAGAAGCACUGUGCCGCUUCUCGUGCUAUCUUUGCUUGUUAGUUAGCUUAGCUCGCUAGUUAGCUUAGCUUGUUAGCUGCUAACAGAAGACACAGAAGUUAUCAACACAUCGCUAAAUAGAGAUCAAGUGGUUGUGAUUGUGUGAAAAUGUCUACAUUACAAAUGUUGAGAGCGUUGGUGGAUCAGCGACUAACUGCUGCCGUUGAAGAAAUAUUUGUAGUGUUAGAAAGAACGAUAGCAGAAUACGAGGCGGAACUUUCUAGAACAAAAGAGGAAAACUAUCAAAUACUGGACGCUGUUUUCAAGAAACAUCAAGUUGUGUUACACAGAACAGAUUUCCAACGCUGCUGAUAAAGGGAACAGGUGAUUGGAUCACUCGCUCCAGCUGAGGUAUCUGCUCACCUGUAUGCUGCUUCCUGGCCGGCCCCUGCACACGCCCCGCCCGCAGGGAACGCGUAGGCCACGCCCCUCUCCACAACGUCCAGCAGGUGUCAGCAGAGAGUCAUGAAGAGAUUCCCUCCAAGCAGCAGGAGUGGAGCUCCAGUGUGGGACAGAAGGAGCUACAGGCCCCCUCCCACAUUAAAGAAGAAGAGGAGGAACUGUGGAAGCAGCUUCAAAGGUUGGAGGAGGUUAAUGAUGAAGAUGAAGCUCAGUCCUUACAGCUUCAUCACAGUCAAAGUGAGGAGAACAGAGGGGCGGAGCUUGUAAGUCAACACAUCACAGAAGCUGAUGGAGAGCAUUGUGAAGAUAUAAAGUCAGAACCAGACAGCAUCUUUGCUCCUCUGUCAGACAUGGACCAGACGAUGUCAGACUCUUCUGAUCACAGUGACCACAUCCAAAAACCUUUGGAGAGUAAAAAUGACUGUAAAGGUGAUACAAGACAUCACACUAACAACAAACACUUUGACUGCUCUCAAUGUGGGAAAUCAUUUAGACUGAAGACUGAUUUUAUAAGACACAAGAGAAUACAUACUGGAGAGAAACCUUUUACUUGCUCUGUUUGUAAAAAAAGUUUCUCCACAAAGCAACACAUGACCACACACAUGAGAACACACACUGGAGAGAAACAUUUUACUUGCUCUGUUUGUAAGAAGAGUUUCUCCAUUAAGUCUGCCAUGACCAGACACAUGAGAACACACACUGGAGAGAAACCUUUUCCUUGCUCUGUUUGUAAGAAGAGUUUCUCUAGAAAGCAACACAUGACCACACACAUGAGAAGACACACUGGAGAGAAACCUUUUCCAUGCUCAGUGUGUCCCAAAAGAUUCUCCAUAAAUGAGCAAAUGAAAAGACACAUGAGAACACACACUGGAGAGAAACCUUUUACUUGCUCUCUUUGUAAGAAGAGGUUUUCCAGAAAGCUUAACAUGUCCACGCACAUGAGAACACAUACUGGAGAGAAACCUUUUACUUGCCCUGUUUGUAAGAAGAGUUUCUCCACAAAGCUUGUCAUGACCAGAAACAUGAGAACACACACUGGAGAGAAACCGUUUAGUUGCACUGUGUGCGAUAAAACAUUCAGGGUUAAGAAUAAGGUCAGUAAACACAAGUGUGUAACAGUCAUGGAAGCUGCAGGGAUUUAAAAACACUUAAACAGUGAUUGUGCUAAAUGUACUUUAAAAACACAGCAUGUUUAAUAUGAAUGUAUAUUUUAUGUUGUAUGUAGUGCCUCUCAUCUUCUACUGUUAUUCUAUGUUGUUCUGGAAUUACUUUUUAAGUUGUGUGCAUUUAUUGAAUAUCAUGUACUAUUUUAUUUUAUUUUCUCAUUGUUAAAGAGAGAACUUCUUUCUUAUUAUUUACAGUUGUUUUUUGUUCACACAUUUUCUUCCAUUGCAUUUUUAUUGAUGUUAUUAUCCAAUUAAAAGAAUGAAUGAAUAAAAUUGUUAACAAAAUGUG